rnacentral:rRNA from 1 species
UACGUAGGGGGCGAGCGUUGUCCGGAUUUACUGGGCGUAAAGCGCGUGUAGGCGGCUGUUUAAGUUGGGUGUGAAAGCCCGGGGCUCAACCCCGGGACGCCGCCCAAGACUGGAUGGCUUGAGGACGGAAGAGGGGAGUGGAAUUCCUGGUGUAGCGGUGAAAUGCGUAGAUAUCGGGAGGAACGCCGGUGGCGAAAGCGAUUCUCUGGUCCUUUCCUGACACUGAGGCUCGAAAGCUAGGGGAGCAAACAGG